UACAGAGGUCUCAAGCGUUGUUCGGAUUCAUUGGGCGUAAAGGGUGCGUAGGCGGUGGGGCAAGUCGGAUGUGAAAUCCCGGGGCUUAACCCCGGAACGGCAUUCGAUACUGCUCUGCUCGAGGGCUGGAAAGGGGACUGGAAUUCACGGUGUAGCAGUGAAAUGCGUAGAUAUCGUGAGGAACACCAGUGGCGAAGGCGGGUCCCUGGACAGCUCCUGACGCUGAGGCACGAAGGCCAGGGGAGCAAACGGG
rnacentral:rRNA from 1 species